rnacentral:rRNA from 1 species
GACGAACGCUGGCGGCGUGCUUAACACAUGCAAGUCGAACGGAAAGGCCUGCUUUCCCUUGUGGAUUGCGGGUACUCGAGUGGCGAACGGGUGAGUAACACGUGAGUGAUCUGCCCCCAACUUGGGUAUAAGCCUGGGAAACUGGGUCUAAUUCCCGAUAGGACUGCAGGGUGGUGCCUGUGGUGGAAAACGAUUUUCUAGUGGUUGGGGAUGAGCUCGCGGCCUAUCAGCUUGUUGGUGGGGUAAUGGCCUACCAAGGCGGCGACGGGUAGCCGGCCUGGGAGGGUGGACGGCCACAUUGGGACUGAGAGACGGCCCAGACUCCUACGGGAGGAAGCAGUGGGGAAUAUUGCACAAUGGGCGGAAGCCUGAUGCAGCGACGCCGCGUGGGGGAUGACGGCCUUCGGGUUGUAAACUCCUUUCGACCGCGAGGAAGCCACCUGGUUGGAAGGGUGGUGACGGUAGUGGUAGAAGAAGCACCGGCUAACUACGUG